CGGAUUUUAAGCAGUAAAACCCAAACUGAUUGUUUUCUGUGUUGUUUUUUUUUCUUAAUAGACAGAAGAAAGAAAUCUGGAUUACACUUUCUGUCUGUGCAGUUUCUGGUUGCAUGGCCUGCCCUUGCAGAUCUUGGAGCUGUGCCUCUACUAAUACGAGGACCCUGUUAACGAAGCUAAUGAGGAAUGUAAUACCUAACAAAAGGAAAACUGAUGUGCUGAAAUAUUCCAUUUUUCAGAGGAAAAAUAGAUGCAUGCCUGAGGAUAUCCCAUCUCCAAUAAAGGAUUGCAGAGGAGGAAAAAAUGAGAAUUGCAUAUUGUGAGGACAGAAUCAUAUUUUGAUCUAAAUCUCCUGGAGAAUAAUGGCAGGCUUGAACUGCUCAUUUUCCAUCACUGUGCAGCCUGAAUCAGAAAGCCCCAUGGCAGCCUAUGAGUCUGAUAACAAAAUACAGUCACUACAGAAAUCAAAGUAAGGAAGUGUAACAACAGCUCUUUUGUUUCUUUUUCUUUUCUUUCUUUAAUUAUGGUGAAAAUGC
rnacentral:lncRNA from 1 species